rnacentral:sRNA from 1 species
ACUGAAGGGAGAAGUGCUACACACUUUCAACCAACCAGAUCUCAUGAAAACUCACUAUCACAAGAACAGCAAAAGGGGAAUCCGCCCCAUGAUCUAAUCAUCUCCCACCAGGUCCCUCUCCCAACAUUGGGAAUUACAAUUCAACAUGUGAUUUGGUGGGGACACAGAGCCAAACCAUAUCACACCCCAUUCAAAACUAUGAGAUUAUAAAAUGGUCCUUCUCCUGUCACUCAGCUGACUGUAAAUUCGUGCUGGCACGUCCACAGCACGGCAGACAGACACUGCUUGGGAAUUCUGUUCUAUCAUCAAUGGAGCUGUGAUGACUCUGGAUGUCACUGGUAGUGGCCAACAUUUCUGCAGCUCCUUCUCAGUUACAUCCUCAACACAAACUCCUCACCGGGUAUGAUGGUUUCCAGGAUUUGAUCCCUGUCCCAUCUCUGUUCUCAUUUC